GAUUUUCCAGGCAAGGAUACUGGAGUGGGUUGCCAUUUCCUCCUCCAGGGGAUCUUUCCCACCCAGUGCUCGAACCUGGGUCUCCUGCACUGCAGGCAGAUUCUUUACUGACUGAGCUACCAACGAAGCCCCCGACCACUGGACCUCCAGGGAAUUCCCACAGCUCUGCCUUACUGAGCUUCGACUUCCUCACCUGCAGAAUGAGGGUGGCAGUCCCUCUGCUGCAGGGCAAGGUGCGGGCUUGGCUGGACAGACGGCGUAAGUGCCUCGCAAGAGGCCGGUGUUCAGCGGACAUCUGGGCAGUCAAACUCCGGGAUCCUCCUCCUCAGGGUCCCACACUGAUGCCAGGAACAUGGAGACGCUGCCUGCCGCUGACCAGCCUGGGAUUUAUGGAGAGGCCCUCGGGGGGCAGCCCUGAGUACUGCCGCGCCCAGCAUCCGCACCGCGCCCGCUGCUGAGGCCCCCGCGCCUCCGGCCUCACCAUUG
ensembl:lncRNA